UACGAAGGGGGCUAGCGUUGCUCGGAAUCACUGGGCGUAAAGCGCACGUAGGCGGACUCUUAAGUCGGUGGUGAAAUCCUGGAGCUCAACUCCAGAACUGCCUCCGAUACUGGGAGCCUUCGAGUCCGGGAGAGGUGAGUGGAACUGCGAGUGUAGAGGUGAAAUUCGUAGAUAUUCGCAAGAACACCAGUGGCGAAGGCGGCUCGCUGGGACGGUACUGACGCUGAGACGCGAAAGCGUGGGGAGCAAACAGGG
rnacentral:rRNA from 1 species